rnacentral:rRNA from 1 species
GAUGAACGCUGGCGGCGUGCUUAACACAUGCGAGUCGAACGGAAAGGCCCAAGCUUGCUUGGGUACUCGAGUGGCGAACGGGUGAGUAACACGUGGGUGAUCUGCCCUGCACUUCGGGAUAAGCCUGGGAAACUGGGUCUAAUACUGGAUAGGACCACUUCUUGGAUGUUGUGGUGGAAAGUUUUUUCGGUGUGGGAUGAGCUCGCGGCCUAUCAGCUUGUUGGUGGGGUAAUGGCCUACCAAGGCGUCGACGGGUAGCCGGCCUGAGAGGGUGUACGGCCACAUUGGGACUGAGAUACGGCCCAGACGCCUACGGGAGGCAGCAGUGGGGAAUAUUGCACAAUGGGCGCAAGCCUGAUGCAGCGACGCCGCGUGGGGGAUGACGGCCUUCGGGUUGUAAACUCCUUUCGCUAGGGACGAAGCGUUUUGUGACGGUACCUGGAGAAGAAGCACCGGCUAACUACGUG